GAUCAUGGCUCAGGAUGAACGCUAGCGGCAGGCUUAACACAUGCAAGUCGAGGGGCAGCAUAAUGGAUAGCAAUAUCUAUGGUGGCGACCGGCGCACGGGUGCGUAACGCGUAUGCAACCUACCUUUAACAGGGGGAUAACACUGAGAAAUUGGUACUAAUACCCCAUAAUAUCAUAGAAGGCAUCUUUUAUGGUUGAAAAUUCCGAUGGUUAGAGAUGGGCAUGCGUUAUA
rnacentral:rRNA from 1 species